rnacentral:rRNA from 1 species
CCUUCGGGUUUUAGUGGCGAACGGGUGAGUAACACGUAAGCAACCUGCCUUUAAGACGUGGAUAACAAUUGGAAACAGUUGCUAAGACAGGAUAGGAAAUUAAGAGGCAUCUUUUAAUUUUUAAAAGACCUUUUUCGAAAGGUAUACUUAAAGAGGGGCUUGCGCCACAUUAGUUAGUUGGUAAGGUAAAGGCUUACCAAGACGAUGAUGUGUAGCUGGACUGAGAGGUCGAACAGCCACAUUGGGACUGAGACACGGCCCAAACUCCUACGGGAGGCAGCAGUAAGGAAUUUUUGGCAAUGGAGGAAACUCUGACCGAGCGACGUCGCGUGAACAAUGAAGUACUUCGGUAUGUAAAGUUCUUUUAUUGAAAAAGAAAAAAUAGUGGAAAAACUAUCUUGACAUUAUUCAAUGAAUAAGCCCCGGCUAAUUAUGUGCCAGCAGCCGCGGUAAUACAUAAGGGGCGAGCGUUAUCCGGAAUUAUUGGGCGUAAAGGGUGCGUAGGCGGUUUGAUAAGUCUAUAGUUUAAAUGCAGUGCUUAACGCUGUAGCGCUAUAGAAACUGUCUGACUAGAGUUAGAUAGAGGCAAGCGGAAUUCCAUGUGUAGCGGUAAAAUGCGUAAAUAUAUGGAGGAACACCAGAGGCGUAGGCGGCUUGCUGGGUCUUAACUGACGCUGAGGCACGAAAGCGUGGGGAGCAAACAGGAUUAGAUACCCUGGUAGUCCACGCCGUAAACGAUGAGUACUAAGUGUCGGGUUUCGGCUCGGUACUGAAGUUAACACAUUAAGUACUCCGCCUGAGUAGUACGUACGCAAGUAUGAAACUUAAAGGAAUUGACGGGACCCCGCACAAGCGGUGGAUCAUGUUGUUUAAUUCGAAGAUACACGAAAAACCUUACCAGGUCUUGACAUAAUUUUGCGACAUUAUAGAAAUAUAAUGAAGGUUAUCAGAAUUACAGGUGGUGCAUGGUUGUCGUCAGCUCGUGUCGUGAGAUGUUAGGUUAAGUCCUAAAACGAGCGCAACCCUUGUCGUUAGUUGCGACCACGUAAUGGUGAGCACUUUAGCGAGACUGCCAAUGAAAAAUUGGAGGAAGGUGAGGAUUACGUCAAAUCAUCAUGCCCCUUAUGAUCUGGGCUACAAACGUGAUACAAUGGCUGUUACAAAGAGUAGCUACAACGUGAGUUUUUAGCCAAUCUCAAAAAAACAGUCUCAGUUCGGAUUGAAGUCUGCAACUCGACUUCAUGAAGUUGGAAUCGCUAGUAAUCGCGAAUCAGCAUGUCGCGGUGAAUACGUUCUCGGGGUUUGUACACACCGCCCGUCAAACCACGAAAGUUGAUAAUACCCGAAAGCGGUCGCCUAACUUCGUCAGAAGAGGGAGCCGUCUAAGGUAGGAUCGAUGAUUGGGGUUAAGUCGUAACAAGGUAUCCCUACCGGAAGGUGGGGAUGGAUCACCUCCUUUCUAAGGAAACAUAGAAUCAUCAUCUUCAGUUUUGAAAGACUUAGUUAGGUUUUUCUAAUUUGAAAAACUUAGUUAAGUUUUUCUCAUUUCUUUUAUUUUUUGGUAUCCUGGGCCUAUAGCUCAGUUGGUUAGAGCACACGCCUGAUAAGCGUGAGGUCGGUGGUUCAAGUCCAUUUAGGCCCACCAAACGUUUUGCUAAAAAAAACGUGUUAUCAAAAAAAAGUUCUUUGAAAAGUAGAUAAACAAGAAAACAAUAGCCA